CUCGGUAGCUUAGUUGGUAAAGCGCUCGUCUAGCAUACAAGAGUCCUGGGUUCAAAUCCUAGCCGAG
rnacentral:tRNA from 1 species